rnacentral:lncRNA from 1 species
GCCUCCCCCGGAGCCCUCGGCGUGCGGUGGGUGUGCGGGGGGGAGCAGCCGAGCUGGCGGCCAGCCCAGCCCCGGCUUCCCCGCCUCUAUAUAAACACCCGGGGACUUUCUCCGCCGCUCCUCAGUGCGAGGGGCCAUGCCCGCCGCCCGCCUCCCGCACGGCCGGGGAAAGUCUGGGGCUGACACCGCGGCGUGCGGAGCCCCGCGCUCCCGUGUGUGCAGACAGGGACCCCCACCGGCCUGUCUCGCUCCCUGUGUGUAGAUACAUGUGUACAGCUACUUAGUUCUUGCAGCUCUCCAGGUCGUGGCUGAAUUAUUUUAUCAUUUUUUAAGCUAUUUUUUCCAAAUCUCGCUCCUUUUCUUUGUUUUUUUUCCUUAUUUUUUUUCCCCCUUCUGGUGUGAGUGGCUUUGCCUUGGAAGGGAGCGAGAGCCAGAGCAUCUGCACUUGGACUUUUUGGGGGUCUUUUUCCCCCCCCUUUUUUUUUUUCAGGGUUUUUCUUUUUUAAUUUUUGCCCUCGAGUUUUUUGCUGCCCAGUUGCCCCCACCCCUUAUUCGGGGUCUCUUUCUCUCCCCCCUCCCUCUUCCCUUUCUUUUUCUUUUUCUCCCUUUUUCUUUUUCCCUUUUUUUUCCUUUUAUUUUUCCUUUUUUCUCCUUUUAUUUUUCCCUUUUUCCCCUUUUCUUCUUUCUCUUUUAUUUUCCCCCUUUUCUUUUCCCCCUUUUUCCUUUUUCUUUUCCUUUUUUCCCCUUUUUCUUUUUCCCUUCCCCCUUUCAUUUUCCCCUUCUUCCUCUUUUCUUUUUCCUUUCCCCUUUUACUUCUUCCCUUUUUCCUUUUUCUUUUUUCUUUUUUUCUUUUUCCUUUUUUCAUUUUCCCUUCCCCCUUUUUCUUUUUCCUUUUCCCCUCUUUCUUCCCCCCCCUUUCUUCCUCUAUUUUCCUUUUUCUUUCCCCCCUUUCUUCCCCUUUCCCCCUUUUCUUUACCCUCCCCUCUUCCCCUUUCCUUAUUGUGGGGUGUGUUUUUUGCGCCUGUGUCACUCCAUCAAGUUUAUCCCAACCAAGAACAAAGUUUUCAGAGAGGGACCGAGGAGAAACUACUUUUUGCCACCAUCCCCCUCUAUUUUCCCCCCUUUUCUCCCGCCUUUCCCCUGCUGUUUCCUGCCCUGCCAGCGGCCAGGGGGGCAGCGGGGCCCCCCCCCGCCCGGGACCCCCCAGGCAGCCCUCACCGUGCGCUCCGCGAUCUCCCUCUUCCCGUGCGUGCGGGUGUGUGGGUGCGAGUGCGGUGCCUGUCAAGGGGCUGUUUCUCUCCCCACCCUCCUCCUC